CAAGUCGAACGGGAAUCUUCGGAUUCUAGUGGCGGACGGGUGAGUAACGCGUAAGAAUCUAACUUCAGGACGGGGACAACAGUUGGAAACGACUGCUAAUACCCGAUGUGCCGAAAGGUGAAACCUAAUUGGCCUGAAGAAGAGCUUGCGUCUGAUUAGCUAGUUGGUGGGGUAAAGGCCUACCAAGGCGACGAUCAGUAGCUGGUCUGAGAGGAUGAGCAGCCACACUGGGACUGAGACACGGCCCAGACUCCUACGGGAGGCAGCAGUGGGGAAUUUUCCGCAAUGGGCGAAAGCCUGACGGAGCAACGCCGCGUGAGGGAGGAAGGUCUUUGGAUUGUAAACCUCUUUUCUCAAGGAAGAAGUUCUGACGGUACUUGAGGAAUCAGCCUCGGCUAACUCCGUGCCAGCAGCCGCGGUAAUACGGGGGAGGCAAGCGUUAUCCGGAAUUAUUGGGCGUAAAGCGUCCGCAGGUGGUCAGCCAAGUCUGCCGUCAAAUCAGGUUGCUUAACGACCUAAAGGCGGUGGAAACUGGCAGACUAGAGAGCAGUAGGGGUAGCAGGAAUUCCCAGUGUAGCGGUGAAAUGCGUAGAGAUUGGGAAGAACAUCGGUGGCGAAAGCGUGCUACUGGGCUGUAUCUGACACUCAGGGACGAAAGCUAGGGGAGCGAAAGGGAUUAGAUACCCCUGUAGUCCUAGCCGUAAACGAUGGAUACUAGGCAUGGCUUGUAUCGACCCGAGCCGUGCCGAAGCUAACGCGUUAAGUAUCCCGCCUGGGGAGUACGCACGCAAGUGUGAAACUCAAAGGAAUUGACGG
rnacentral:rRNA from 1 species